rnacentral:rRNA from 1 species
GGAGUUUGGGCCGUGUCUCAGUCCCAAUGUGGCCGGUCACCCUCUCAGGUCGGCUACUGAUCGUCGCCUUGGUGGGCCGUUACCUCACCAACUAGCUAAUCAGACGCGGGCCCAUCCCAUACCACCGGAGUUUUUCACACUGUACCAUGCGGUACCGUGCGCUUAUGCGGUAUUGUCAGCCGUUUCCAGCUGUUAUCCCCCUGUAUGGGGCAGGUUGCCCACGCGUUACUCACCCGUCCGCCACUCGGUUAAGCUUCGUCACCCCGAAGGGAUCGUGAAAAAUAACCUCGUUCGACUUGCAUGUGUUAAGCACGCCGCCAGCGUUCAUC